rnacentral:rRNA from 1 species
CGUGUAGGCGGAACUACAAGUCAGAUGUGAAAUACCACGGCUCAACCGUGGAACGGCAUUUGAAACUGUAGAUCUUGAGUAUCGGAGAGGCAAGUGGAAUUUCCAGUGUAGCGGUAAAAUGCGUAGAUAUUGGAAGGAACACCGGUGGCGAAGGCGACUUGCUGGACGAUUACUGACGCUGAUGCGCGAAAGUGUGGGGAGCGAACAGGAUUAGAUACCCUGGUAGUCC